rnacentral:rRNA from 1 species
GAAAGCCUGAUGCAGCUAUGCCGCGUGUAUGAAGAAGGCCUUAGGGUUGUAAAGUACUUUCAAUAAGGAAGAAGCAAUAAAAUCUAAUACAUUUUAUUGUUGACGUUACUUAUAAAAGAAGCACCGGCUAACUCCGUGCCAGCAGCCGCGGUAAUACGGAGGGUGCUAGCGUUAAUCGGAAUUACUGGGCGUAAAGAGCACGUAGGCGGUUAAUUAAGUCAGAUGUGAAAUCCCUAGGCUUAACCUAGGAACUGCAUUUGAAACUGAUUUACUUGAGUAUCAUAGAGGGGAGUAGAAUUCCAGGUGUAGCGGUGAAAUGCGUAGAUAUCUGGAGGAAUACCAGUGGCGAAGGCGACUCCCUGGAUGAAUACUGACGCUCAGGUGCGAAAGCAUGGGGAGCAAACAGGAUUAGAUACCCUGGUAGUCCAUUGCUGUAAACGAUGUCGACUUAGAGGUUGUGAGCUUGUCUCGUAACUUCUGUAGCUAACGCGUUAAGUCGACCGCCUGGGGAGUACGACCGCAAGGUUAAAACUCAAAUGAAUUGACGGGGGCCCGCACAAGCGGUGGAGCAUGUGGUUUAAUUCGAUGCAACGCGAAAAACCUUACCUGGUCUUGACAUCCAUGGAAUUUAAUAGAGAUAUUUUAGUGCCUUCGGGAACCAUGAGACAGGUGCUGCAUGGCUGUCGUCAGCUCGUGUUGUGAAAUGUUGGGUUAAGUCCCGCAACGAGCGCAACCCUUGUCCUUUGUUGCCAACGGUUUGGCCGGGAACUCAAAGGAGACUGCUGGUGAUAAGCCGGAGGAAGGUGGGGAUGACGUCAAGUCAUCAUGGCCCUUACGACCAGGGCUACACACGUGCUACAAUGGUAUAUACAAAGGGAAGCAUCCUCGCGAGAGUAAGCGAAUCUCAUAAAAUAUAUCUUAGUUCGGAUUGGAGUCUGCAACUCGACUCUAUGAAGUCGGAAUCGCUAGUAAUCGUAGAUCAGAAUGCUACGGUGAAUACGUUCCCGGGCCUUGUACACACCGCCCGUCACACCAUGGGAGUGAGUUGUAAAAGAAGUAAGUUGUUUAACCAUAAUAGGAGAGCGCUUACCACUUUA